rnacentral:rRNA from 1 species
AGUUAGGAAGUGCAAGGAUGUUAAUAGCGUUCUUGCUUGACUAAGGCUCCGGAGGAAGCCACGGCUAACUCUGUGCCAGCAGCCGCGGUAAUACAGAGGCGGCAAGCGUUGUUCGGAAUUAUUGGGCGUAAAGAGCACGUAGGCGGCUGUGUAAGUCGGUUGUGAAAGCCUUCCGCUUAACGGAAGAACGGCAUCCGAUACUGCAUAGCUUGAGUGCGGGAGGGGAGAGUGGAACUUCUGGUGGAGCGGUGAAAUGCGUAGAUAUCAGAAGGAACACCGGCGGCGAAGGCGACUCUCUGGUCCGUAACUGACGCUGAGUGUGCGAAAGCUAGGGGAGCAAACGGGAUUAGAUACCCCGGUAGUCCUAGCCGUAAACGAUGGGCACUAAGUAGAGGGA